GCCCCGGUGGUGUAGUCUGGCCUAGCAUUGAUGGCUGUCACCCAUCCGACUCGGGUUCAAAUCCCGACCGGGGCGCCA
rnacentral:tRNA from 1 species